CCCUGACGCAGCACCGUUGGAUGUGGAGGGUGUGGCCUGGAUUGAUUUUGCUCAUGGGAGCAGCAGGGCUCCUUGCUCAUAAGAUACGGUGUCAAUAGGGAAACCAUGUGUCAUAAGCACGCAUCAGUUACAAGCACCAUGCACAGUACCAACUAUGAACACACAUGCAUGUUACAUCACAUCACACAUAAAUAUCAUCCAAGAACAAGAGGGAGGCUGCCGGUGAUGGCUCAUCAACCGGAGGUAGAGGAGCAGUCGCGGUCUUCGCCGGCCUCCACCUCGCGCCUGUGGAAGCUGCGGUGGCACCCGCAGGCCGCGCACGCCGUGCCCUCGGCGCCCGACGCCAUGAACUCGCGGCACCCGUCCACGGCGUGCCCGCCGAUGGACGCCGCGUGGUUGCGCUGGCACUCCCGGUACUGCACCACCUUCUUCGCGUCCUUGCUCCUCGCUGCCAUGGACGACGACGACGACGACCGGUCUUUCUGAGGCCCCAUAGGAACUGAACGCUGGCGAUGGCGUGCGUGUUCUUGCCUGGUGUUGGGGACUCGAUCGAGAGAUGUGGAAGUAGUAGUAGUGGGAUCGAAAGGCUGCUGCCUGGGCCAAGGCUUUCUGUUUGGCAAAAAUACCCAAG
rnacentral:misc_RNA from 1 species